rnacentral:tRNA from 1 species
ACCUGGGUGGCUCAGUCAGUUGAGCAUCUGACUUCAGCUCAGGUCGUGAUCUUAUGGUUCGGUUCGUGGGUUUGAGCCCCACGUCAGGCU